UACGUAGGGUGCGAGCGUUGUCCGGAUUUAUUGGGCGUAAAGGGCUCGUAGGCGGCUAGUCGCGUCGGGAGUGAAAGCCCGUUGCUUAACGGCGGGUUUGCUUCCGGUACGGGCUGGCUGGAGUGCGGCAGGGGAGACUGGAAUUCCUGGUGUAGCGGUGGAAUGCGCAGAUAUCAGGAGGAACACCGGUGGCGAAGGCGGGUCUCUGGGCCGUUACUGACGCUGAGGAGCGAAAGCGUGGGGAGCGAACAGG
rnacentral:rRNA from 1 species